AUUGAACGCUGGCGGCAUGCCUUACACAUGCAAGUCGAACGGCAGCACGGACUUCGGUCUGGUGGCGAGUGGCGAACGGGUGAGUAAUAUAUCGGAACGUGCCCAGUCGUGGGGGAUAACGUAGCGAACGUUACGCUAAUACCGCAUACGAUCUACGGAUGAAAGCGGGGGAUCGCAAGACCUCGCGCGAUUGGAGCGGCCGAUAUCAGAUUAGGUAGUUGGUGGGGUAAAGGCUCACCAAGCCAACUAUCUGUAGCUGAUCUGAGAGGACGACCAGCCACACUGGAACUGAGACACGGUCCAGACUCCUACGGGAGGCAGCAGUGGGGAAUUUUGGACAAUGGACGCAAGUCUGAUCCAGCCAUUCCGCGUGCAGGAUGAAGGCCCUCGGGUUGUAAACUGCUUUUGUACAGAACGAAAAGGCUCUUCCUAAUACGGAGGGCUCAUGACGGUACUGUAAGAAUAAGCACCGGCUAACUACGUGCCAGCCGCCGCCGUAA
rnacentral:rRNA from 1 species